AAAAAAUUGAUCCUGAUUGGUAGAUGGCUAUGGACUGACUACCUUACACUUACCCAGGGUGUAGCGCCAAUUGCAACUAUAUGCUUGAUAUGGUAUAUUUAUUGAUGUACUACCACAUUGCCUCUGGCACUUGGCACACAUGAAUUGAUUUGGCAAUUGCAUUCUUCUUGAUUCCUGACAGUAGGGAGAACAAAAAACAGUUUGUUAUCACAUGGUAUGGGCAGUAGUACACAUUCACUGAUUGCCCUGGGGCUAUGUUAACGCUAUGCUCACGUUCCUGGUAUACACUGCAGAAACAUUUAUCCUCUUGCUAUUCUGCAGAAUAUCAUGAUGGUCUAUUAUAAUGUAUCAUGCUAAUUGGCCCCAAUAAUCAGGAACUAACAAGUGUUCUAUAUGCCCUAGGAAGACACCAGAGUGCCAGAGAGUGAAAGAAAAUCUUGCUCAAGAUGCCAAGGCCUGCCACAUCACAUAACUUGAGAAGAAAAGUGGAACAAGGAGAACAAAUUAAGUAUAUACCACUUCUGCAGAAGAAAAAAGGCAAAUCAUGAGAGACUACUACUGACAGAUCAAAUCCACCCACCAGUGGUCUUGGAAUACGUCUUUCUCCGUCAUCGUCUUCUUUAUAACAGAGGGCACCAAAGGAUAGCUGUAUGGAAGCAAGAGGAAAUCAGCCCCAGGGAGCAUUGUCUCUGUGAGAUGCCAGCGCUGAGAUGAAGCUGAGACGAGUUUCACGUUGCUGAACACCCUCAUACAGCAGUAAAAAGAUUGUGUACAGCUUUGACCAUAGGGUACCUGGAAGGCUCUCUGUUCCAUUAUUACAAACAGGAUAAUUAUUGUUUUUAAGUACCAACGAAGUGACAUUGCACUCUCUUUGGCAAGAGAGAGAGCACUGGUUGCCAUAGCUGUAUGUUCUGAUCAGACAUAAAUGACGGUAAAAUGAUAAAAGCUUUCUGCUAGAUUUCUUCCAUCCUG